rnacentral:rRNA from 1 species
UAUUAAAGUUGUUGCAGUUAAAAAGCUCGUAGUUGAAUUUCGGGAUCAAGUCGUCGGUCGUGCUCAGGUACGUACUGGCGUCAUUGAUUUCUCCCUUCUGACGAACCAUGAUGUCAUUAAUUUGGUGUUAUGGGAAAUCAGGACUGUUACUUUGAAAAAAUUAGAGUGUUUAAAGCAGGCUCACGCUUGAAUACAUUAGCAUGGAAUAAUGAAAUAGGACGUUCGAUCCUAUUUUGUUGGUUUUAGGAUCAACGUAAUGAUUAAUAGGGAUAGUUGGGGGCAUUAGUAUUCAAUUGUCAGAGGUGAAAUUCUUGGAUUUAUUGAAGACUAACUACUGCGAAAGCAUUUGCCAAGGAUGUUUUCAUUAAUCAAGAACGAAAGUUAGGGGAUCGAAGACGAUCAGAUACCGUCGUAGUCUUAACCAUAAACUAUGCCGACUAGGGAUCGGAUGAUGUUAAUUUUUUAAUGACUCAUUCGGCGCCUUACGGG